AUUUCCUCCAUGACAUGUGCAUUAUAGUAGCCAAAACUUUAGAAUUAUUUGAUGUUCUGGUGUUGUGGGCACUGUAGGGGUGUAUUGAUUAUGAUCAACCGUAACUUUCGGGGGCUCCGUAAAGAACAUGUCCAUCAAGAUUAUCAAACAAACAAAGUACAGUACAGUAGUUCCAUGCAAAGCUAAAAGACGCAUGUUGCAUAUUAUUCUAAUUAAAGCUGGAUACAUAACAUCAAUGCAAAUCGCUUCAGAAGCUACGACACUAUAUCCUACAAUGGCCUUAACCAACACACCCACUCACCUUGUCCAUGUGAACAAGUCAAGGACUUACUAUAUUUCUGACCUGCACUUCAUUAAACCCUCUGAGCUACUGUAUCUGUAUGCUAAUAUAAGCAGCAGCUUAAUCAUCUGUUUCUGUGUCUGAGCUGUGUAUAAAGCUGAGAAAGAAUGUAUUCCUGGGUAUUUGUAAUUAUAAUGGGAGCACUGUGCACCUGUUCUAAGGUCUCUGCAGCAGGUGAUUCCUACGAUGGUGAGUUGGGGAUGGAGGCUAACAUCACACUAGAUGUGCAGACCAUUCUGACCAGUUUGAAUACAUCACAAGGACUUAUAGUGACCAAUUUAAAUGGAGCUAACAACACAGUGACCUUCUUAAAAGAGGAAGUAGCAGCAGAGUGCCUCAUUAUUGGAAGUGACAGUAGCUGCAACUGCUCUACUGGCUACACUUGGAGCAACGACGUGUGCUACACUUACAGCUGUUGCAAUGAUAGUACUUGCACAGCAAAUGUGUCCUACAUAACACCACUCUGCAUUCCCAAAGUCAAAGUUCAAAUCGAUGGCUCAGUUACCUUCUAUUCAACAUGGGAUUCACAUAAUACUGAUUUGAUUGGAAACAGCCUUCGAAGUCUGAAUGGCCUUCAGGCCCUGACUGUAACAAAGAGUACCACCCAAUCUGCAGCUAUUCUGGCAAACGUCAGUGUUAAGAUUGUGACCUCAAAACUUCAAGACUUAAUUAACAAUCUACAAAUAAGUCUUAAUGCUACAAUUAUGGUCAACAUUCUAGGAAUGGUCACUAUAUUGUCUCCUAACACUUCAGUAUGCUAUGAGUCCAGCACAGUACUCAAAUGCACUCUUGAGCAGAAGACAGACAGUGCUGGUUGGACACUAAAUCAGAAUGGGCUCAACCCUGGCAUUGUUGUCCAACUGAACAACAGCUGUGCCCCAACAGAAAGCAGCUCUUGUACUGCCCUUACACUUCAGAAGGUGACAGGCGCCUGGGCAGGUACAUACAAAUGUACAUUCACUACUGGGUCAGUUACACACACAGCCACGACACAACUAGAUGUUUCACUCUUGCCUGAUGUGAUCACCAUGGAGACUAGUCCUCUCACAGCAGACUGUUCGCAACUGCCCAAAAAUAUUCCAUUAACUGUUUCUACCACCAUCCUACCAAGUUCAGGGAACUAUGUGGUUUGGUGGAACUGUAGUUCUGGGAUUAGUACGUGUGAACUAAACAGCCCAGCUAACAACAAAUGCAAUGCAAUCAUCAGUUGCCCACAAAACUCUGUUCCACUGUUUGUUAAUGUGACUUUCAAAAACACGAAAGGCCAAACUAAAACUGCACAAGUGUCUAUCCCAGUCAUUUCUGCCCAAAGCAGAUUUUGCCAAAGUGAGGACAUUUGGCCAAAAACCCCAAUUGGAUACACUGUGUUUAAUCUGACAUGUGCCACAGGCAGAUCUGGCAAUAAGUCACGUUAUUGUGACAAUACUGGGUGGCAACCGGUCUUUGACAACUGUGUUAACGAAGAGUUGAAUAAAGCUUUAAAUGACGCAAAUAACUUCCUGAUGGGACUGGGGGGCACUCAAGAAAAGGCCACUACCAUAUUUGAAACAAUCAGAAACACUUCAAACACUGGUUCCAAUACUAGUAUUGCUGACAUUUCUGCAUCCAUUAACGUUCUAAAUGUUAUGGCCCAAGCUUCGGAAAAUAUUGUCUUAACAGAUUCAAUCUUCCCCGUAAGCCACAACUCACUAUUAUUGCUUAAGUAUUUCCAUGUAUCUGUGGUUUAUGGGUUAUCGGUCUUGCCUCACAGCAAAAAGGAUUUUAAUUCCCAGCUUAAGAUAAGUGCGGGUCACUUAGAAAUGUACUUAUUUUUGACAGAAAGGCACCUUUUUUUUGCAAUGUACGAUUCAGGAAUACACUGUUUACAUCACUAA
ensembl:lncRNA